rnacentral:lncRNA from 1 species
GAAUUAAUUCAGAACAUAGAAGGCUUUCAGGAUGAGCAUGUGUCAGCAGAGCACACGUGGAAAUAAUCUAUCAGUGAAAAGCCUCUGGUGGACACAACUGGAAACAUUGGUUAUCUUACCAAAGCUUUGACUGGAAUGUCAUAUUUGAGAGAAACGGGCAUAGACUAAGAUACGACCAGACAGCUUUUGAGAAACAAAGAUUGGACUUUAUGGAAUAAAGUCACUUGGAAAUAUUGGCCUGGUACAUUGUUUCCUAGCAACCUUAUGGGUUUUUCCUACCUGUGAACUGGACUGGAUCCUGAAUUCUUCUAGUCUCCUGAAAUACCUGGCUAAAAAUCUCCAAAUUAGCAUUUUUAAUUUUUUCCCUCAUUUUCAUUUGGAAUCAUUGAGAAUUGAACCUGCACUUUUUCCUGAAGCCUUGCAAACUGAAGCUGAACAACUUGAUAUAAACUUAAGAGAGAUACAUGUCUGUUGCUGUGUAAGCUGUAAGCCACUCAGAAAGAUACUUAAAUGCGUGAUGACAUCAUCAGAGACAUCUCAAGCUGCAAAAGAUGCUUUGACCCUGACAUCUAGAAAUCUUGACUGGCUGCCCCCUGGGCUUAAGAACUGUUUUAUAAUUUGCUCCAACAGUUAACCUUUUUUUUUUCCCCUUUUAUUUCCAGAGAAAUACUUCUUAUUAAAUACCUGAUUGCUUGCUUCCACAAUAUAGGGCUGACUUUGAGAAUGCACCUGCAUCCACACCUUCUAAAAUAAAUCUAACUGGACUCAUCUGUUAUCAUGACUAGCAAAUGUGUUCAGUGAGAUGAAACAAUCUACCACUCAGAUUCUGGACUAUGAAACUUCAUAAAGUUUCAAAGGACUAUGAAACUUACAAAGGACUAUGAAACUUACAAGUUUCAAAGGCGGGACUGUGGGGGAUUGGAAUUGGCCAUCCCAAGAUAUGUCUGUUUGACAUAAGGAUUAUUUGGGGUUGGUUACUUUUAAAAACUGCAGACAUGACAGAAACUCUGAAAAGUAGAAAUUACCCUUUGUAAAGAGACAUUUACAUUUGUAAAGGAAAUCUCCAUCUAUGAAGGUGUCUCCCUCUGUACCAGGAAGAAAGAGGGAUGACCUUAUCUCUAGAAACUUUUAUCAAUGCAGAAGGAAAGGACUUUUGAAUCUACAUAAUAACCUUACUCUUGUUUACUCUCCAUUUCUGGUAAUCUGCCCUAACUCAUUCCGCCCACUCCUAACAUCCUCUUUUGUAACUGAAGAUGGUAUUUAAGAUGAGAACCUCUGCCAUUUUUGCUAGUUGCUCAGUUUUCCUGAGUCUCUCCCAUGUAUAUAUGCCAUAAAGCUUUGUUUCAUUUUCUCCUGUUAUUCCAUCUCAUGUGAAUUUAAUGUGUAGCCAGACCAGAAGGGCCUUCGAGUGGGUAGAGGAAAUGUCUUCCUCCCCUACAGUAUCUGCU